GCAUCGAUGAAGAACGUAGCAAAAUGCGAUACUUGGUGUGAAUUGCAGAAUCCCGUGAACCAUCGAGUUUUUGAACGCAAGUUGCGCCCAAAGCCAUUCGGUCGAGGGCACGUCUGCCUGGGCGUCACG
rnacentral:rRNA from 1 species